rnacentral:lncRNA from 1 species
CCUGAACUGCCGAAAACCAAAUGAUGGUGAAAGAAACAUCUAUGUGGGUGACGGCAAGAAGGUGCCAGUUGAAGCUAUUGGCAAAUUUAGGCUGUCUUGUGCUAGCUUGAGGCUUUGGUUUCUGUUUCUUAUUUCCAUUUCUGAUCUGUCCAGGAAAUUGGUUUAUAUUUUGUUACGAUCCAAUUUCAUAACGGGUCAUGAUAGUGUCCAACGACAUUACUAGCAAGCCAAGGCGAAAAAAUAUACUAACUAAACUUUCAGUCACUCUAGAUUAGUUGAAAUAAUUCUUUAAAA